AUUGAACGCUGGCGGCAUGCCUUACACAUGCAAGUCGAACGGUAACGGGCCUUCGGUUGCCGACGAGUGGCGAACGGGGGAGUAAUACAUCGAAACGUGCCCGAUCGUGGGGGGUAACGAGGCGAAAGCUUUGCUAAUACCUCAUACCGUCUACUGAUGAAAGCAGGGUGGCGCAAGGCCUUACGCGGGCCUAGCUGCCGCUGGCAGAUUAGGUAGUUGGUGGGUUAAAAGCUUACCAAGCCGACGAUCUGUAGCUGGUCUGAGAGGAUGAUCAGCCACACUGGGACUGAGACACGGCCCAGACUCCUACGGGAGGCAGCAGUGGGGAAUUUUGGACAAUGGGCGCAAGCCUGAUCCAGCCAUGCCGCGUGAAGGAUGAAGGUCUUCGGGUUGUAAAAUGCUGUUGUACGGAAAGAAAAGACUUCUUUUAAUACAGGAGGGUCAUGACGGUACCGUAAGAAUAAGCACCGGCUAACUACGUG
rnacentral:rRNA from 1 species